UCAGAUCAUCCCAGACAACUUUUUCAUCGGUGAUAAAAACUAUGCUCGACGCCAAUUCUUUCGAAACAGAAUUUAACAACAAUACAGAUAUAUGGGAUUGGACUCAGUAGACGGAGGCAAAGAUCCAUUUAUGAAGCCAAACUUAUUCUUAGCAUUCAAAGCUAUUAACAUGGAACGUUUUCAUGUAUGGUAAUUUUCGCUAGACAGAGGCUAUGUAACAAGAAUGAUGCCUGGGUUAUCCCUGUUCCGAAGAAAAUAUGGAGUAGAAGAAUCCUCACAAGGAUUGGAAAAAGAUGCAAACGAAGUAGCCAUUUGCAAAGAAGAAGA